ACGGAAGGUGCAAGCGUUAGUCGGAGUUAUUGGGCGUAAAGGGUGCGUAGGCGGCACAGAAAGUUGAAUGUGAAAUUCCGGGGCUCAACUCCGGAGCGGCAUUCAAAACUCCUGUGCUUGAGGGAUGGCGGAGAAAACGGAAUUCCAUGUGUAGCGGUGAAAUGCGUAGAUAUAUGGAAGAACACCUGUGGCGAAAGCGGUUUUCUAGCCUCAACCUGACGCUAAGGCACGAAAGCAAGGGGAGCAAACAG
rnacentral:rRNA from 1 species